rnacentral:rRNA from 1 species
AGAGUUUGAUCCUGGCUCAGGACGAACGCUGGCGGCGUGCUUAACACAUGCAAGUCGAACGAGACGAUUGAAAGCUUGCUUUUGAGAGUCGAGUGGCAAACGGGUGAGUAACGCGUAGACAACCUGCCGUAAAGAUGGGGACAACAGUUCGAAAGGACUGCUAAUACCGAAUGUUGUAGAGUUUCCGCAUGGGAAUCCUACUAAAGGUGGCCUCUACUUGUAAGCUAUCGCUUUACGAUGGGUCUGCGUCUGAUUAGCUAGUUGGUGGGGUAACGGCUUACCAAGGCGACGAUCAGUAGCCGGUCUGAGAGGAUGAACGGCCACAUUGGAACUGAGACACGGUCCAGACUCCUACGGGAGGCAGCAGUGGGGAAUCUUCCGCAAUGGGCGCAAGCCUGACGGAGCAACGCCGCGUGAGUGAAGAAGGGUUUCGACUCGUAAAGCUCUGUUGUCGGGGACGAAUGUCAGGACUCAGAAUAUGGGUUCUGAAUGACGGUACCUGACGAGGAAGCCACGGCUAACUACGUGCCAGCAGCCGCGGUAAUACGUAGGGAGCGAGCGUUGUCCGGAAUUACUGGGUGUAAAGGGAGCGUAGGCGGGAUUGCAAGUCAGAUGUGAAAACUAUGGGCUUAACCCAUAGACUGCAUUUGAAACUGUAGUUCUUGAGUGAAGUAGAGGUAAGCGGAAUUCCUAGUGUAGCGGUGAAAUGCGUAGAUAUUAGGAGGAACAUCGGUGGCGAAGGCGGCUUACUGGGCUUUUACUGACGCUGAGGCUCUAAAGCGUGGGGAGCAAACAGGAUUAGAUACCCUGGUAGUCCACGCUGUAAACGAUGAUUACUAGGUGUGGGGGGACUGACCCCUUCCGUGCCGCAGUUAACACAAUAAGUAAUCCACCUGGGGAGUACGACCGCAAGGUUGAAACUCAAAGGAAUUGACGGGGGCCCGCACAAGCAGUGGAGUAUGUGGUUUAAUUCGAAGCAACGCGAAGAACCUUACCAGGUCUUGACAUCGAGUGACGAGCUAAGAGAUUAGCUUUCCUUUCGAGGCACGAAGACAGGUGGUGCAUGGUUGUCGUCAGCUCGUGUCGUGAGAUGUUGGGUUAAGUCCCGCAACGAGCGCAACCCUUACCAUUAGUUGCUACGCAAGAGCACUCUAAUGGGACUGCCGUUGACAAAACGGAGGAAGGUGGGGAUGACGUCAAAUCAUCAUGCCCCUUAUGACCUGGGCUACACACGUACUACAAUGGCAAUUAACAAAGAGCAGCAAAGCCGCGAGGUGGAGCGAAUCUCCAAAAAUUGUCCCAGUUCAGAUUGCAGGCUGCAACUCGCCUGCAUGAAGUCGGAAUUGCUAGUAAUCGUAGAUCAGCAUGCUACGGUGAAUACGUUCCCGGGCCUUGCACUCACCGCCCGUCA